rnacentral:rRNA from 1 species
AUUGAACGCUGGCGGCAGGCCUAACACAUGCAAGUCGAGCGCGUGGCGGACGUGUGAGUAAUGUUUGGGAAUGUACCCUAUAGAGGGGGAUAACUACGGGAAACUGUAGCUUAUACCGCAUACUCUGGGCUGCGCCCAAGUGGGAUUAGAUAGUUGGUGAGGUAAAGGCUCACCAAGCCGACGAUCUCUAGCUGGUCUGAGAGGAUGACCAGCCACACUGGGACUGAGACACGGCCCAGACUCCUACGGGAGGCAGCAGUGGGGAAUAUUGCGCAAUGGGGGCAACCUGACGCAGCCAUGCCGCGUGUAUGAAGAAGGCCUUAGGGUUGUAAAGUACUUUCGGUAGCGAGGCGUUAACUACAGAAGAAGCACCGGCUAACUCCGUGCCAGCAGCCGCGGUAAUAC